GGAGAGGUCGCAUAGUGGUCUAGUGCAGAAGUUUACUAAACUUCCAUAUCCGAAAGGAUAUCGCGGGUUCGAAUCCCGCCCUCUCCGCCA
rnacentral:tRNA from 1 species